rnacentral:rRNA from 1 species
AACGAACGCUGGCGGCAGGCUUAACACAUGCAAGUCGAGCGCCCCGCAAGGGGAGCGGCAGACGGGUGAGUAACGCGUGGGAACGUACCUUUUGGUUCGGAACAACUCCGGGAAACUGGAGCUAAUACCGGAUAAGCCCUAACGGGGAAAGAUUUAUCGCCGAAAGAUCGGCCCGCGUCGGAUUAGCUAGUUGGUGAGGUAACGGCUCACCAAGGCGACGAUCAGUAGCUGGUCUGAGAGGAUGAUCAGCCACACUGGGACUGAGACACGGCCCAGACUCCUACGGGAGGCAGCAGUGGGGAAUAUUGGACAAUGGGCGCAAGCCUGAUCCAGCCAUGCCGCGUGAGUGAUGAAGGCCUUAGGGUUGUAAAGCUCUUUUGUCCGGGAAGAUAAUGACUGUACCGGAAGAAUAAGCCCCGGCUAACUUCGUG